rnacentral:rRNA from 1 species
UACGGAGGGUGCAAGCGUUAUCCGGAUUCACUGGGUUUAAAGGGUGCGUAGGCGGGCAGGUAAGUCCGUGGUGAAAUCUCCGGGCUUAACUCGGAAACUGCCAUUGAUACUAUCUUUCUUGAAUACCGUGGAGGUCAGCGGAAUAUGUCAUGUAGCGGUGAAAUGCUUAGAUAUGACAUAGAACACCAAUUGCGAAGGCAGCUGGCUACACGAAUAUUGACACUGAUGCACGAAAGCGUGGGGAUCAAACAGG